rnacentral:tRNA from 1 species
AGCUUAGUUGGCAGAAUAAUGCACCUGACUUAGAAUCAGCCUAUGGUAAAUUACUAACCACUCAGC